rnacentral:rRNA from 1 species
UUAAAGGAAUUGACGGAAGGGCACCACAAGGAGUGGGACCUGCGGCUCAAUUUGACUCAACACGGGAAAACUCACUCGGUCCGGACACAUGAGAGGAUUGACAGACAUAAAGCUCUUUCAUGAUUCAGUGGGUGGUGGUGCAUGGCCGUUCUUAGUUCGUGGAGUGAUCUGUCUGGUUUAUUCCGAUAACGAACGAGACUCUAGCCUGCUAAUAAGUUCGGAGACUUGCAUGUCUGUCCAACCGAACGCUAGUGAGACGCACCUGUACUGCAAAGGGUAACCCUGCCACUAACCGGGCGGGCCCCGGCGCGGGACAGGCUCACGAAGCGAAACUUCUUAGAGGGACUGGUGGCAAUGUAAGCCACAGGAAGUAGAGCAAUAACAGGUCUGUGAUGCCCUUAGAUGUCCGAGGCUGCACGCGCGUCACAAUGAAUGAGUCAAUGUGGACACCACGUCCUCCGAAAGGAGCGGCGAAACCCUAUSAAACUCACUCUCGGUGGGGAUUGUGGAUUGGAACAGUCCACAUGAACGUGGAAUUCCUCGUAAUCGUCAGUCAUUAACUGGCGCUGAAUAAGUCCCUGGCCUUUGUACACACCGCCCGUCGCU